UGGGGAAUUUUGGACAAUGGGCGCAAGCCUGAUCCAGCCAUGCCGCGUGCGGGAAGAAGGCCUUCGGGUUGUAAACCGCUUUUGUCAGGGAAGAAAUCUUCUGAGUUAAUACCUCGGGAGGAUGACGGUACCUGAAGAAUAAGCACCGGCUAACUACGUGCCAGCAGCCGCGGUAAUACGUAGGGUGCAAGCGUUAAUCGGAAUUACUGGGCGUAAAGCGUGCGCAGGCGGUUUUGUAAGACAGAGGUGAAAUCCCCGGGCUCAACCUGGGAACUGCCUUUGUGACUGCAAGGCUUGAGUGCGGCAGAGGGGGAUGGAAUUCCGCGUGUAGCAGUGAAAUGCGUAGAUAUGCGGAGGAACACCGAUGGCGAAGGCCAAUCCCCUGGGCCUGCACUGACGCUCAUGCACGAAAGCGUGGGGAGCAAACAGGAUUAGAUACCCCUGGUAGUCCACGCCCUAAACGAUGUCGACUGGUUGUUGGGAAGGUUCCUUCUCAGUAACGUAGCUAACGCGUGAAGUUGACCGCCUGGGGAG
rnacentral:rRNA from 1 species